rnacentral:misc_RNA from 1 species
GAUGAAGAACGUAGCGAAAUGCGAUAAGUAAUGUGAAUUGCAGAAUUCAGUGAAUCAUCGAAUCUUUGAACGCACCUUGCACCCUUUGGCAUUCUGAAGGGUAUGCUCGUUUGAGUGUCAUUGUACUCUCACACUCCCGAUCUUUGCAUUGGGAGCAGUGGACUUGGGUUUGCUGCUUCACCGUCGCUUACCUCAAAUAGGUUAGUGCAACUCUUGGUUGGACAUAGUACGGCGUGAUAAGUGUUCUUCGCCGGUGCCUCGCAAAGAGGGUGGCCGAUCGGGAUGUUGUGCUCCAAACCGUCUUCGGAUAAUCUCUGACGACUUGACCUCAAAUCGAGUAAGACUACCCGCUGAACUUAAGCAUAUCAAUAAGCGGAGGA